UACGGGGGGGCAAGCGUUGUUCGGAAUUACUGGGCGUAAAGGGUGCGUAGGCGGCUGCCUAAGUCAGGUGUGAAAUCUCCCGGCUCAACCGGGAAACUGCGCUUGAUACUGGGCGGCUCGAGUGAGGUAGGGUGUGUGGAACUUCCGGUGGAGCGGUGAAAUGUGUAGAUAUCGGAAGGAACGCCAGCAGCGAAAGCGGCACACUGGGCCUUUCUGACGCUGAGGCACGAAAGCCAGGGAGCGAACGGG
rnacentral:rRNA from 1 species